AUACCUUUCUCGGCCUAUUGGCUAAGAUCAAGUGUAGUAUCUAUUCUUAUCAGUUUAAUAUCUGAUAUGUGGGCCAUCGGUUCACACGAUAUUAAAUUUAUUUUUUGAGGGUGAAGAUUUGUCAAAGUAGCUUGCUACCUGGGUGUCUAAGCGUCGCCCCUGCGUUGCACUAUUGCACGGGCCUAACGCACCCACC